GCCUGAUGCAGCAACGCCGCGUGUGUGAUGAAGGCCUUCGGGUCGUAAAGCACUUUUCUGGGAGAUGAGAAAGGACAGUAUCCCAGGAAUAAGUCUCGGCUAACUACGUGCCAGCAGGCCGCGGUAAAACGUAGGAGGCGAGCGUUAUCCGGAUUCACUGGGCGUAAAGCGCGUGCAGGUGGCGCGGUAAGUUGGGCGUGAAAGCUCCCGGCUCAACUGGGAGAGGUCGUCCAAUUCUACCGUGCUUGAGAGCAGAAGAGGAAGAUGGAAUUCCCGGUGUAGUGGUGAAAUGCGUAGAUAUCGGGAGGAACACCAGUGGCGAAGGCGAUCUUCUGGUCUGUUUCUGACACUCAGACGCGACAGCUAGGGUAGUAAACGGGAUUAGAGACCCCGGUAAUCCUAGCCGUAAACGAUGUGAACUUGGCGUUGGUGGGUUAAACUCCAUCAGUGCCGUAGCAAACGCGAUAAGUUCACCGCCUGGGGACUACGGCCGCAAGGUUA
rnacentral:rRNA from 1 species